rnacentral:rRNA from 1 species
UACGGAGGGAGCUAGCGUUGUUCGGAAUAUCUGGGCGUAAAGCGCACGUAGGCGGCGAUUCAAGUCAGAGGUGAAAGCCCGGGGCUCAACCCCGGAACUGCCUUUGAAACUAGAUUGCUAGAAUCCUGGAGAGGUUAGUGGAAUUCCGAGUGUAGAGGUGAAAUUCGUAGAUAUUCGGAAGAACACCAGUGGCGAAGGCGACUAACUGGACAGGUAUUGACGCUGAGGUGCGAAAGCGUGGGGAGCAAACAGG